UCCUCUCAUCUCCUCGCCUCUUUCACUCUCAAACCCUAGUCCGCCGUCAUAUUUUUCCUUUCGAUUCAUGGGAUCUUCCCUUGAUUCACUGCCUUAUUUGGCUCUGUUUCUUUACUGGCUACCUGAUCUUGAUGUUAAUUGAUUCAUUUUCCUCAAAUGGCAAGUGAAUAUCAAGAGAUUCGAACCAGAUCUGGUUCAAAGUCUCUCAUAUCUUGGCUCUUUCCAUCUAUGUUCAUCCUAAUACUUCUGAAAACCAAGGCCAAAAUUAUUCUGGAACCUCAUUGUUGUGGUAUACUUACUUGCUUUCUCACUUAACUGGUUGGUUUGAAGCUGAAGAAAGACCCAUAUCCAGCAGUAUAGUAGUGAGUAAUGCCAUGUAAACUUGGAAUUUUGAAGAAGAAGUCUAGUAGUGUUCAUUUGUGUAAUGAUGUAUGUA